UCAGUUCGGAUUGGAGUCUGCAACCCGACUCCAUGAAGCUGGAUUCGCUAGUAAUCGCGCAUCAGCCACGGCGCGGUGAAUACGUUCCCGGGCCUUGUACACACCGCCCGUCAAGCCAUGGAAGCCGGGAGUGCCUGAAGUGCGUGAGCGCAAGCAGCGCCCUAAGGUAAAACCGGUGACUGGGGCUAAGUCGUAACAAGGUAAC
rnacentral:rRNA from 1 species